rnacentral:rRNA from 1 species
GCAGUAGCCGCGGGAAUACAGAGGGUGCGAGCGUUAAUCGGAUUUACUGGGCGUAAAGCGUGCGUAGGCGGCUUCUUAAGUCGGAUGUGAAAUCCCUGAGCUUAACUUAGGAAUUGCAUUCGAUACUGGGAAGCUAGAGUAUGGGAGAGGAUGGUAGAAUUCCAGGUGUAGCGGUGAAAUGCGUAGAGAUCUGGAGGAAUACCGAUGGCGAAGGCAGCCAUCUGGCCUAAUACUGACGCUGAGGUACGAAAGCAUGGGGAGCAAACAGGAUUAGAUAACCCUGUAGUCCCUGUCUCUUAUAC